ACUGGGGUGGGAUAGUGGCAACCUGUAUACUUCCCAAGCAUGUGCGCCGGGUUCGAUUCCCGAUUCUAGCU